GUCAAAUGGCGUUCCGUAACAAUGAAGUGGAUAAUGAAAAGUUUUUUUCUAGAAUUGAGAUGAUAAUUAGAUCUAGUGAUGUCUUUUCAAUUAAUUUCAUAAUAAUUGAAUGCAUUACAGAUGUUUAUUAUUCAAGAAAAGUGAUAAAAUCCACUAUCUGAUGACAUGGUGUGAAUGGGACUGUCAUCAGAAGUCGAACUACAAGCAGAAUACAAGGAAGACCAUCAAUUCCGUAGAUCAAGGGGUAAAGGUCUAGUCUGAGGCGAAAAAAACCUGAUCAUGUACUUAAAAAUGAUCUGCUUUCACAGCUACUGUGUUUAGUUUUUUUCAUUUGUCUGCAGUUCUGAAUUGAGGCAGGUUUUUAUUUGCCUUUCAGUGUCUGAUUCUAAGCAAUGGUCUUUUGGGAAACUUAAAAUUGUGUGGGCCUUAUGGAAAAUAAGGAUUUAUCUGGUACACAGCUUAACUUGUGUCAAGCUGUACAAAUUUUACCUGUUUCAAAUUUAUUUUAAAACUGGUGUUACAUGUAUUGUAUACCUAUAUCCAUUCUUUUUUAGGAAAAGAUUUUAGCCAUGCAGAUCCAGAAAUAGCUCUAUUGAACAUGCAAAGUUCAUUCAGGAUCAUCUAUCUCAUGAAAAUGCCGCAAAGAUUCUUGAUUUUAGAUCCAUGACUGCUAUUCUGCCAUAAGCGUCUUAAUUUUUGAAAAUCAGCAACUGAUUGGUGAGGGCUAUGCCUUUAUAAACUAAAAUGUCAAUUAUGGAUGGAAGAUUCCAGAAAACAAGACCAUGGAAAUGGAAAUUUCGGUCCAGCCCUCUCCCAUUAUAUUCAGAGGGAAAUGUAUAGAUGGGUUCCUACUGGAUAUUAAUACCAAUUCUCCCAUCUUACGGUCUCACGAGGAAGUUUUGCAGCUGACCGUUAAGAUGUCUUGUCUUAUAUUUGACGGUGUCAGAAAUAGAAGACGAAAAAAGAUGCUGCACUUUCGAAGAAAGUUACCUGCACUUAACCGCUAGCCACUGAUUCGAACCGAAGAUAAAAUAUUAUAAUUUUUAUAAAUUGAAGUGCAUAUCUGGGCUCCCUUCUUUUCUGUGGCCCCGUUUCCCCUUGACUUGUGAUAAGCCCGUAGGGGGUCAUGCCCCUACUGUGAUCAGCAGUAAAGG
rnacentral:lncRNA from 1 species